AUUGAACGCUGGCGGCAGGCCUAACACAUGCAAGUCGAGCGAGUGGCGGACGGGUGAGUAAUGUAUGGAAAUCUGGCUGAUGUAGGGGGAUAACUACUGUAAACGGUAGCUAAUACCGCAUACCAUCGGAUGUACCCAAAUGGGAUUAGCUGGUAGGUGGGGUAACGGCUCACCUAGGCGACGAUCCCUAGCUGGUCUGAGAGGAUGAUCAGCCACACUGGGAAGGAGACACGGCCCAGACUCCUACGGGAGGCAGCAGUGGGGAAUAUUGCACAAUGGGCGCAAGCCUGAUGCAGCCAUGCCGCGUGUAUGAAGAAGGCCUUCGGGUUGUAAAGUACUUUCAGUCGGGAGGCGUUACCCACAGAAGAAGCACCGGCUAACUCCGUGCCAGCAGCCGCGGUAAUUC
rnacentral:rRNA from 1 species